CUUAUACUCCCUCUGCCGAAAAUACUUGUCGAAGAAAUGCAUAAAAAUGGAUGUAUGUAGAAUUAAAAUACGUAUAGAUACAUCCAUUCCUCCGACAAGUAUUUCCGGACGGAGGAAGUAUAUA
rfam:Triticum aestivum genome assembly, contig: Triticum_aestivum_CS42_TGACv1_scaffold_526832_6DL